rnacentral:rRNA from 1 species
GAUGAACGCUGGCGGCGUGCCUAAUACAUGCAAGUCGAGCGAACGGACGAGAAUCUUGCUUCUCUGAUGUUAGCGGCGGACGGGUGAGUAACACGUGGAUAACCUACCUAUAAGACUGGGAUAACUUCGGGAAACCGGAGCUAAUACCGGAUAAUAUUUUGAACCGCAUGGUUCAAAAGUGAAAGACGGUCUUGCUGUCACUUAUAGAUGGAUCAGCGCUGCAUUAGCUAGUUGGUAAGGUAACGGCUUACCAAGGCAACGAUGCAUAGCCGACCUGAGAGGGUGAUCGGCCACACUGGAACUGAGACACGGUCCAGACUCCUACGGGAGGCAGCAGUAGGGAAUCUUCGGCAAUGGGCGAAAGCCUGACGGAGCAAUGCCGCGUGAGUGAUGAAGGUCUUCGGAUCGUAAAACUCUGUUAUUAGGGAAGAACAGAUGUGUAAGUAACUGUGCACAUCUUGACGGUACCUAAUCAGAAAGCCACGGCUAACUACGUG